UAGCUUUUCCCUUAUAGUAUUCCAUCGAAAGUUUAUCAAUCCGUGGAAUUUAAAAAUUUAAGAUGGUGCAGUGGUACAACUUUUUCACCGUUCAUUCCUCGCAUGUAAAUUUAAGUUACUGCAGUUUAGCAGAUUACACGAAAACUCAGCAUGGUGAAUAUCUUGCUGAGUUCGUGAGCAUAUCUUUCAUGCGUCAUGGUGAAACGACUGCGUGUGAGACUGAUCUCUGGCAGGUCCCGAUCUCAAGCUAUCAAUGCAAAUAAAAUAAACUGCAGUACCUUUCCUUAUGAAGUGUAUGGCAAUAUCAUAAACUACUCGAAAAAGUCCAAAUAAAAUGACAGCAGUGGUGAAUGACUUGGAGGAUAGGACGUGACAUCACAUACAACUUUCUUGUGGUCGCUACUGCGAGGUGCGUGUUAACACCUCCGGUUUCUCAAAGCUUUACCUCAAAUGACUCCCACAAUACUCGCCAU
rnacentral:lncRNA from 1 species